UACGUAGGCAGCAAGCGUUGUUCGGAAUUACUGGGCGUAAGAGUGUGUAGGCGGUGCUCUAAGUUCGGUGUGAAAUCUCCCGGCUCAACUGGAGGGUGCGCCGAAAACUGGAGUGCUGGAGCGCGGGAGAGGAAAGCGGAAUUCCUGGUGUAGCGGUGAAAUGCGUAGAUAUCAGGAGGAACACCGGCGGUGUAGACGGCUUUCUGGACCGUAGCUGACGCUGAGACACGAAAGCGUGGGUAGCAAACAGG
rnacentral:rRNA from 1 species